UACGUAGGGUGCGAGCGUUGUCCGGAUUUAUUGGGCGUAAAGAGCUCGUAGGCGGUUCGGUAAGUCGGGUGUGAAAACUCUGGGCUCAACUCAGAGAUGCCACCCGAUACUGCCGUGACUUGAGUCCGGUAGGGGAGCACGGAAUUCCUGGUGUAGCGGUGAAAUGCGCAGAUAUCAGGAGGAACACCGGUGGCGAAGGCGGUGCUCUGGGCCGGUACUGACGCUGAGGAGCGAAAGCGUGGGGAGCGAACAGG
rnacentral:rRNA from 1 species